AGCAGUGUGGCCUAGUGGACAAAGCACCAGCCUGUGAGUCAGAAGGACCUGGGUUCUAUUCCCAGCCCUGCCA
rnacentral:tRNA from 1 species